rnacentral:tRNA from 1 species
GGGAAUGUGGCUCAGUGGUAGAGUGCUUGCCUAGCAUGUGUGAAGCCCUGGGUUUGAUUCCUCAUUACCA